CAGGUGUGUUAAUCUACUCCUCUACAGGUGAGUCAGGUGUGUUAAUCUAGUCCUCAAUAGGUGAGUCAGGUGUGUUAAUCUAGUCCUCAAUAGGUGAGUCAGGUGUGUUAAUCUAGUCCUCUAUAGGUGAGUCAGGUGUGUUAAUCUCCUCUAUAGUUGAGUUAGGUGUGUUAAUCUAGUCCUCUAUAGGUGAGUCAGGUGUGUUAAUCUCCUCUCUAGGUGAGUCAGGUAUGUUAAUCUAGUCCUCUACAGGUGAUUCAGGUGUGUUAAUCUCCUCUAUAGGUGAGUCAGGUGUGUUAAUCUAGUCCUCUAUACGUGAGUCAGGUGUGUUAAUCUAGUCCUCUAUAGGUGAGUCAGGUGUGUUAAUCUAGUCCUCUAUAGGUGAGUCAGGUGUGUUAAUCUCCUCCUCUAUAGGUGAGUCAGGUGUGUUAAUCUAGUCCUCUACAGGUGAGUCAGGUAUGUUAAUCUCGACCUCUACAGGUGAGUCAGGUGUGUUAAUCUACUCCUCUAUAGGUGAGACAGGUGUGUUAUUCUCUAUAGGUGAGUCAGGUGUGUAAAUCUAGUCCUCUACAGGUGAGUCAGGUGUGUUAAUCUAGUCCUCUACAGGUGAGUCAGGUGUGUUAAUCUAGUCCUCUAUAGGUGAGUCAGGUGUGUUAAUCUCCUCCUCUAUAGGUGAGUCAGGUGUGUUAAUCUCGUCCUCUACAGGUGAGUCAGGUGUGUUAAUCAACUCCUCUAUAGGUGAGACGGGUGUGUUAAUCUCUAUAGGUGAGUCAGGUGUGUAAAUCUAGUCCUCUAUAGGUGAGUCAGGUGUGUUAAUCUCCUCUAUAGGUGAGUCAGGUGUGUUAAUCUCUAUAGGUGAGUCAGGUGUGUAAAUCUAGUCCUCUACAGGUGAGUCAGGUGUGUUAAUCUACUCCUCUAUAGGUGAGUCAGGUGUGUUAAUCUACUCCUCUAUAGGUGAGACAGGUGUGUAAAUCUAGUCCUCCACAGGUGAGUCAGGUGUGUUAAUCUAGUCCUCUAUAGGUGAGUCAGGUGUGUUAAUCUAGUCCUCUAUAGGUGAGUCAGGUGUGUUCAUCUCCUCUAUCGGUAAAUCAGGUGUGUUAAUCUCAAUAGUUGAGUCAGGUGUGUUAAUCUAGUCCUCUAUAGGUGAGUCAGGUGUGUUAAUCUAGUCCUCUACAGGUGAGUCAGGUGUGUUAAUCUAGUCCUCUACAGGUGAGUCAGGUGUGUUAAUCUAGUCCUCUACAGGUGAGUCAGGUGUGUUAAUCUAGUCCUCUAUAGGUGAGUCAGGUGUGUUAAUCUAGUCCUCUAUAGGUGAGUCAGGUGUGUUAAUCUAGUCCUCUACAGGUGAGUCAGGUGUGUUAAUCUAGUCCUUUAUAGGUGAGUCAGGUGUGUUAAUAUAGUCCUCUACAGGUGAGUCAGGUGUGUUAAUCUAGUCCUCUAUAGGUGAGUCAGGUAUGUUAAUCUAGUCCUCUACAGGUGAGUCAGGUGUGUUAAUCUAGUCCUCUACAGGUGAGUCAGGUGUGUUAAUCUAGUCCUCUAUAGGUGAGUCAGGUGUGUUAAUCUCCUCCUCUAUAGGUGAGUCAGGUGUGUUAAUCUAGUCCUCUAUAGGUGAGUCAGGUAUGUUAAUCUCGUCCUCCACAGGUGAGUCAGGUGUGUUAAUCUAGUCCUCUAUAGGUGAGUCAGGUGUGUUAAUCUAGUCCUCUAUAGGUGAGUCAGGUGUGUUCAUCUCCUCUAUCGGUAAAUCAGGUGUGUUAAUCUCAAUAGUUGAGUCAGGUGUGUUAAUCUAGUCCUCUAUAGGUGAGUCAGGUGUGUUAAUCUAGUCCUCUACAGGUGAGUCAGGUGUGUUAAUCUAGUCCUCUAUAGGUGAGUCAGGUGUGUUAAUCUCCUCCUCUAUAGGUGAGUCAGGUGUGUUAAUCUAGUCCUCUAUAGGUGAGUCAGGUGUGUUAAUC
rnacentral:lncRNA from 1 species